CUGUUGGAGCCUUAACCCCCAGGGCAGCUGCACUGGAAACUUCACCUCUGAGGAAGCAAUUAAGGCUUCUUCAGAGGAAGGACCCUGGGAAGGCAGAACAGUUUCCCAAACCAGAAAAAGAGCCCUGACAAGAUCCUGACUAACCUGGAACAUGAAGUCUUCAGAACUAUGAAAAAAAAAAAACUGCUUUCUUUAAGCCACUCAGUCUGUGAUAAUCGUGGAUCUGAAGCUCGGGAAUGCUGCUCAUUAGGAAUGACUUACAUAACGCAGGGGCAAAAAAUAUCCUCUGUAGCCCAGGGUGG
rnacentral:lncRNA from 1 species